rnacentral:rRNA from 1 species
UACGUAGGGACCAAGCGUUGUCCGGAAUCAUUGGGCGUAAAGCGCGCGUAGGUGGCUUCGUAAGUCCGUUGUGAAAGUCAAAGGCUCAACCUUUGAAAGCCGAUGGAUACUGCGAAGCUAGAGUACGGAAGAGGCGAGUGGAAUUCCUGGUGUAGCGGUGGAAUGCGCAGAUAUCAGGAGGAACACCAAUAGCGAAGGCAGCUCGCUGGGACGUUACUGACACUGAGGCGCGAAAGCGUGGGGAGCGA